ACAUUUUAGAACAACCGACAACAUGAGUGCAAUAUUUAUGCAGCAAAAUAGAAUAUUAAUCUAACUUCAAAAGUGUUUUUAACUUCUGCGUCGUCAACAACCAUCUGCUUGGAUGAUUCCUCUAUCUCUUACCCGAGUUACGCUACGUUGUUAUCAAAUCGUUGUCUCUGUUCGAUCCGCCUUGGGCAAGUUGACCGGGCGUUAACUGAUGCACAAGCGUGUAGGGAAUUGAGACCCAACUGGCAGAAAGCUUGGUAUAGAGAGGGUUCAGCUUUGCGUUUGAUGCAGGCAUGCACUAAGAAUCACUUCAAAUGGCCGACAGGACAUUGA
rnacentral:lncRNA from 1 species